rnacentral:rRNA from 1 species
ACGGGUGGAGUAACACGUGGGUGAUCUGCCUCGCACUUCGGGAUAAGCCUGGGAAACUGGGUCUAAUACCGGAUAUGACCAGGGACUGCAUGGUUUUUGGUGGAAAGAUUUAUCGGUGCGAGAUGGGCCCGCGGCCUAUCAGCUUGUUGGUGGGGUAAUGGCCUACCAAGGCGACGACGGGUAGCCGGCCUGAGAGGGCGACCGGCCACACUGGGACUGAGACACGGCCCAGACUCCUACGGGAGGCAGCAGUGGGGAAUAUUGCACAAUGGGCGAAAGCCUGAUGCAGCGACGCCGCGUGAGGGAUGACGGCCUUCGGGUUGUAAACCUCUUUCGACAGGGACGAAGCGCAAGUGACGGUACCUGUAGAAGAAGCACCGGCCAACUACGUGCCAGCAGCCGCGGUAAUACGUAGGGUGCGAGCGUUGUCCGGAAUUACUGGGCGUAAAGAGCUUGUAGGCGGUUUGUCGCGUCGUCUGUGA